AAAUUCCAAUCGAACUUGGAGAUAGCUGGUUCUCUCCGAAAUAGCUUUAGGGCUAGCCUCAAGUGAUGAUUAUUGGAGGUAGAGCACUGUUUGGACGAGGGGCCCCUCUCGGGUUACCGAAUUCAGACAAACUCCGAAUGCCAAAUAAUUUAACUUGGGAGUCAGAAUGUGGGUGAUAAGGUCCAUAUUCGAAAGGGAAACAGCCCAGACCACCAGCUAAGGUCCCAAAAUAUAUGUUAAGUGGAAAAGGAUGUGGCGUUGCCCAGACAACUAGGAUGUUGGCUUAGAAGCAGCCAUCAUUUAAAGAGUGCGUAAUAGCUCACUAGUCGAGUGACACUGCGCCGAAAAUGUACCGGGGCUAAACAUAUUACCGAAGCUGUGGAUUGUCCUUUGGACAAUGGUAGGAGAGCGUUCUAAGGGCGUUGAAGCAUGAUCGCAAGGACAUGUGGAGCGCUUAGAAGUGAGAAUGCCGGUGUGAGUAGCGAAAGACGGGUGAGAAUCCCGUCCACCGAUUGACUAAGGUUUCCAGAGGAAGGCUCGUCCGCUCUGGGUUAGUCGGGUCCUAAGCUGAGGCCGACAGGCGUAGGCGAUGGAUAACAGGUUGAUAUUCCUGUACCACCAUUAUUCGUUUUAAGCGAUGGGGGGACGCAGUAGGAUAGGCGAAGCGUGCUGUUGGAGUGCACGUCCAAGCAGUGAGAUUGAGUGUUAGGCAAAUCCGGCACUCUUAAGAUUGAGCUGUGAUGGGGAGAGGAACUUGUUCCUCGAGUCGUUGAUUUCACACUGCCGAGA
rnacentral:rRNA from 1 species